rnacentral:lncRNA from 1 species
UACGGUUGUGCUCGGGGAAGGCAUGGUGCCUCUUGAAGUUCAGAUCCGGACAAAGGAGAUGCACUUGCAAGCUGAAUAUGGUUUUGCUGCUCAUUGGAGAUACAAAGAAGGCGCUUGCAAACACUCUUCUUUUGUAAAUCAGAUGGUAGAGUGGGCUCGUUGGGUUGUUACCUGGCAGUGUGAGACAAUGAACAGAGACCAAUCAUCGGUUGGCCACACUGAAUCUAUUCAGCCACCUUGCAAAUUCCCUGCUCAUUCUGAAGAUUGUCCAUUUUCUUGCAAACCUCAUUGUGGAACUGAUGG